CCAUUUGCCCCAAAACUGGCUGGGGACUUUGGGAUGUCUCACCUGGAGCCAUGUCCUCAGCGGGCAGGGGGAGCCCUCCUGGUCUCUCUCCAGCCCCAAUAUCUCUGUUUAAGAGAAGGAACUGGAGCCUUUAGGAAUAACUGCAGCGACGAGGUCAAUGUAUCUUUCCAGACCUGUUCCAGGCGCAUAGAAAAGAUAAGGAACCUACUAUGUGCCAGGUUUUGUCCCAGGCUCUGAGGAUGCAGAAGUGAGCAAAAGAGACAAAGAUCCUUGUCCUCAAGUCUUCACAGAGCUUAUUCUCUAAAGGGAAAAGACAGAUAAUCAGCAUAGUAGGCUCCCUCUGGAUGCAGCAUUGAGAAUAGAGUAGAGGUGAAUAAAAACGAAAGCAUGGAAACCAAGAAGCUAUGCAGCGUAAUGAUGACGGUGGCAAGGACGAGUGUGGUUACAAUGGAGGUGGUGAGAAGUGAUCAGAUUCCAGGGUGAGCACAGAGGAAAGGCCAUGUGAGGACACAAAGAGAAAGCGGCCAUCUACAAGCCGGAGAGAGAGCUCUCACCACAAUCCAAACCCUGCUGGAAACUUGAUCUUAGAUUUCCCAGCCUCUAGAACUGUGAGAAAAUAAACUCCUGUUG
rnacentral:lncRNA from 1 species